rnacentral:rRNA from 1 species
UACGUAGGGCGCAAGCGUUGUCCGGAAUUAUUGGGCGUAAAGAGCUCGUAGGCGGUCUGUCGCGUCGGAUGUGAAAGCCCGGGGCUUAACCCCGGGUCUGCAUUCGAUACGGGCAGACUAGAGUGUGGUAGGGGAGAUCGGAAUUCCUGGUGUAGCGGUGAAAUGCGCAGAUAUCAGGAGGAACACCAAUGGCGAAGGCAGCUCGCUGGAACGGUACUGACGCUGAGGCGCGAAAGCGUGGGGAGCGAACAGG